rnacentral:rRNA from 1 species
UACGUAGGGGGCAAGCGUUGUCCGGAUUUAUUGGGCGUAAAGAGCGUGUAGGCGGCCAUGCAGGUCCGCUGUGAAAUCUCCAGGCUCAACCUGGGGGGGUCAUUCGAUACUGCCGUGACUAGAGGUCGGUAGGGGAGUGUGGAAUUCCUGGUGGAGCGGUGAAAUGCGCAGAUAUCAGGAGGAACACCCGUAGCGAAGGCGGCACUCUGGGCCGAUACUGACACUGAGGAGCGAAAGCGUGGGGAGCGAACAGG